CCAUUAUCUUGUUGCAUAAUAUGCAAAAACAGUGUGGACCAGAAAUUUUGCAUACAAGGAAAAGUGUAUUACCAUUACAUCCAAACAAUAACUGAUGAGACCACUGGGAUUAUAACAACGUUGUCUGUCUUUCAAUAUCAAAUGUUUUGGGCUUCCUCUGCAGGCACUUCCUAGUCAAGUCAAGCCCAGCCCAGCCCACUCUGAGGUUCAGGAAGGUGAGGCCAAGCGUUCCAAGGCCUGGCGGGCAGCAUCUGAAGUGGGCUCGAUCCUCAGGGCCUGG
rnacentral:lncRNA from 1 species